CCUACGGGCGGCUGCAGUGGGGAAUAUUGCACAAUGGGCGCAAGCCUGAUGCAGCCAUGCCGCGUGUGUGAAGAAGGCUUUCGGGUUGUAAAGCACUUUCAGCGGGGAGGAAGGCGGUGAGGUUAAUAACCUCAUCGAUUGACGUUACCCGCAGAAGAAGCACCGGCUAACUCCGUGCCAGCAGCCGCGGUAAUACGGAGGGUGCAAGCGUUAAUCGGAAUUACUGGGCGUAAAGCGCACGCAGGCGGUCUGUCAAGUCGGAUGUGAAAUCCCCGGGCUCAACCUGGGAACUGCAUUCGAAACUGGCAGGCUAGAGGCUUGUAGAGGGGGGUAGAAUUCCAGGUGUAGCGGUGAAAUGCGUAGAGAUCUGGAGGAAUACCGGUGGCGAAGGCGGCCCCCUGGACAAAGACUGACGCUCAGGUGCGAAAGCGUGGGGAGCAAACAGGAUUAGAUACCCGAGUAGUC
rnacentral:rRNA from 1 species